ensembl:lncRNA
AAUUAUACAUUGGGCAGUAGCUACAAACAGAUAUGUGGCACAUAUUGAUCCCACUGUAGAAAAGAAGUGUCCCUUUUGUGAUUUGGAGGAAUCAGUUGAUCACUUGUUCUUAUUUUGUUCUAGACUGGGAGGUGUAUUUCAGAUAUUGGAAACUGGAUUGAAAAACUAGGUGAAGAGUUCAAUGAUAAUAUUUUCAUUUUUGGGCCUAAGUAUAAGGCUUCUGAUAAGAGUCGAAUUGGUGUAAUUUUUUAAUAGCAGAAACGAAAAUGGCAAUAUGGGUAACAAGGAAAAAAAAGAUAAAUGAAGAAGUUUUGGUAGACCCAGAUAUAAUACUAAGAGCUUUUGUGACUUCAAGGGUUAAAGCAGAAUUUUAAACUGACUAAAAAUCUGGCUUGUUUUAUGGAAACAUGGGGUUUAAGUGAUGUUGUGUACUAUGGAUCAUGAGGAAAACCUAAUUCUUAAUUUUUAAAAAUUGGUGUUAGUAAUAAAUUAAACGUUGUGUAAUUUUUUUUUUUUUUUUUUUUUUUUUUUUUUUUUUUUUUUUUUGUAUUUUUGUGUGUGUGUGUUUGUGAUAAUGGUUGGUAUUUUUAAAAAAAAAAAAAGAAAAAAAAGGGAAAAAUAACAUGUUAAUUGACAAAAAAUAUUUUUGUAUAAAUAAAGAGAUAUAAACGUCUCUCUCUCUCUCUCUCUCUGUAUACAGUACAUCUGUCUGUAUACAGUACAUCUGUCUGUUUGCGUCUUGUCUGUCUGUGUGUUCAUUUGUCUGUAUCUGUUUGCGUUGCAAUGGCCUCCAAACAUAAACUUGACUCACAGGAUCUACACUACCAAGAGCGGAGACGCAUGGCUCUUGAACUGAAACUAGACCGUGUUCUAGCUGAAGCCAGGUCACACACACCCCAGUUGAAUGCUCCCUUUCAUCCAGUGUGGAGCUUCCACUUACUGUACCCUCAGCAGAUUUAUAUCCUCACAAGCAAUUUGGUAAAUCAGUGAAAAAAAUAUGGAGAGGCUCUCCGAUAUUUUGAUGUCUUAUCCUUCUGCUGAGCCUCAGAAAAGCUCUGCAUCAUGGUCUUUUCGGCAGCAGAAAGCCUCAGAGCGCUGGAAAGAAGCAAGACCAUACCACCUAAAAAAAGGCCGUUGGUCAGCCACUGUGUUGGCUUUGUCAUGAGCCUGCUGUUAUUAGGUAUGUUAUUUUAGGUAUGUUUGCUAAGGUUAGAUUAAUAUAUUUAAUACAUUUUAACAAACAGUACAAACAGUUAACAAUUAGGCGUACUAGAGAAAUUUAUGUCAGAGCGGGAACUGUUUCACGGCGAGCGUGAGCGGAAUAUUAACGGAGUGCAUGCUUGGGUGGAUAAAACAACUGAGUGGAGCGCACGUCCAUAGAACGGAAAACGUAGCAGAGCGUCACACCGCUCACAUGCUCUGAUUACAACACACAAAUAAAAUUGAUCCUUUUGUAAUUGUUGAGGUUUUGGUGUAUUUUAUGGUUCUGUUGUCAGUCACAACAUGUCGGAGAAAACGCCUUUUGUGUCCCAUGGCAAACAAAGUAAAUAUUACAUAAUAAGUAAUGGUUAAACGAUUGCAAAAAUGUUAUUCAUUUUAAGGGUUUAAAUUGAAGUCUUGUUUAACAUUAUGUAGGGCAGUGGUUUUCAACCUGUGGGCCGCGGCCCCCUAGUGGGUCGCGAUGGUAUUGCAGGUGGGCCGCCAAUUACUAUUAAAAUAAAUAAUUAUAUUGUUAAUAUAUGUAAAAUGUCUAAGUCAUAACAUAAUAACAUCAUAUCAUAUAUAUAAUUAAAUAAGCCCGAGUUAUUUUCUGUUCAUUGCCAGUUCUAGGGCUGUGCGAUAGAAAUUGUCAUAAAAUCAUGAUUUGAGCGUGCGCGAUUUCUAAAUCGCUUUAUAGCACGAUUUUCAGCGGCCCUGACCUCCCGCAGUAUGCCAUAGGUUCACACACUGUCUGUGAUGCGCCUUUUUUCCGAGCCCAUGUUAACGGAUCAGAGCGUUCACACUGCACGCGGUAAAAGGUUAGAAAUAAAAACGUGCGAAAAGAAUUAAUAUCUAGCACAUGAGCAUAGAGAGAGUUGUGAGUGCACAGGACGCAGUUCGAGCGAGAGAAGUACUGUAUACGCACUGCAAACGGAGUACGUGUGAACCUGUAUAAUGUACAACAAAUCUAUUUCAACACCUGAGGCACCGCUACAAUUAAUGAGCUCUAUGAACAUCGUAUGGCAAAAAAGUCCCUGGACACAUUUAUUUAUAUUUAUAUUUAUAUAUUUUUUGCCAUAAGUCUAGAAAUUGUUACACCUUUACCAUAGUGAUUAUUUUGACUUAUGUCUGUUCUAGAGACGUUACAACUUUUUGAUAAAGCUGUAAUUGGUUUUCUUUUGGAAAUAUGUUUCAAAUUCAUCCUGAAUGCAUUUAUGACUGUAAAGCAUAUCUGUGUGUGUCAAAAUUGUGAUUAAAAUCGAAAUCGCAAAAUUGAUCAAAGAAAUCGCGAUAUGUUUUUUUGUCCAUAUCGCACAGCCCUAGUUCAUUAAAUAAUUACAGUUAACAAUCUAGCUUCUGAGUACUAAGUUAUUAACCCAACAAUAGCGGGGUCAGUUAUUUUUUUUUUUUUGCAAUGGGCCGCGCAAACAUAGGUGUUUGGUUGUGUGGGCCGCGAGUUGAAAAAGGUUGGGAACCACUGAUGUAGGGUAUUUUUCGUAACUAGCUGGCAGCAGAAAUCCCAGAACAGAACGAAAUUAUCAUUUCAUAUUCAGUAUGAGUAAACAAUUUAAUAAUGCAACUGAAAACAUAAUGCCAUUUAUAUGACAGCUGAAUACAAUAAUAACAAAUUUAAUGCCGCGAUUUGAAUAUUCAUGAGGUUUCCUUUACAUUUUAGGAGUCGUCAAUACAUCAGUAUUGUAAAUUUAGAUGCUGAAAACACAUCAGUAUUGUAUGUUUAGAUGCUGUAAAUACACCAGUAUUGUAAGUAAAUGUAUGUUUUGUAGAACCAAAUUUUACAUAAAAUACUGUACUUUCAAAUAAUUAUAAGAUCAAGUUGUGCAUUCACUGCAUUAUCUCAGGUUUAUUAAUAGCUUCUUACAAUUAGCAAAAUUAAAAGAAAAGGAAACAGAAGAA